GAUUUUGCUUCUUGAGUAAGUGUAUCGUUAGAUGGUCGACGUUUGAGUUGUUUGUUAUGACUGCUAGUUUUAGAAUCGACAAUAAUGUCAUAUUCAUCAAGAUUAAUAACGAUUCUUUCCGACGAAGAGAAGUCAUUAACUUCAUUAAUCUCGUCGGUUAAAACUUGUGAAUCUUCUGGCGAAUUUGAAGGAGGUUGCUGUUUAAGAGGAAUGCUGGUAGCAUUUGAAAGUAUUUGGUAAGGUAAUCCUUCGGUGGAAUUAGAAUCAAUGAAUGUAACUUCAAUUAACAAGGGAACCCUAGUAGCUUCCUCGCCAUCAUCAUCCUUUUCGACAGCAGAAUCACCAAGAACUGUGAGAAUAGUAUUUUUGGCAGGAUUUAUACCCAAAUCAUCAAAAGUUUUAUCCAAGUUAUCAUCAAAGUCAGGAUCAUAUAUCAGCUUAUCGUUUAAAACGCUAACCUCUUCUGAGUAAUGCAAACGACUUUUCAAAAUAUCAUCAACAAGAACUCUUAGAGUCAUAUUUUUGUCAUUUACUCCAAGCUGUAAAAGUACAAAAGAACAAGUAGGACAGUAAGGGUUAGGUUUACAAGUUUUCUCGCAAUGGAGUACUCUGGUAGGCCUUUUAGCCAAGUAUAUCUUAAAUUGUUAGCAAAUACAGCUGAAACCUAAUAACUUACAUUUUUUAGAUCAUUGAGAUCUCCUUGAAGAACCUUGAUAGCUUGCGUGAUACAUAGUCCAGCUAUGACUGCAUUUGUGGUUGCGAUAGCAGGAAUAAUAUUGCCAGCCAUUUGUUUAAUGUCAAAUUCAGAGAGUUGUUGAAUUCCAAAUACAUGGGCACGCAAAUUAGCUGCCGCUGCUACAAAAUCCAAUGUAUCCUUAUCAUCCUUGUCAAAAGAAAGAUCGUCUUUUGAGGAUUUAGACCUUAAAGCAAGGCGUCUAAUGCUAUCUCUGAGAACUGCAAAACUUUCAGCAACAUUCCAAACAUUUUGUUCAUUAAGCCAAGGUGAAGUGGCUUUUUCGGCAUUCUCUAAAAGUUCCGAGUAUGAAAGUUCUUUUGGAGGAGAACGAUAUGUCCAUGCGUCAGGGACUUCGCGGAGUCGAACUAUGUCUUUAGUAAACAUUUUCGUAAAUAUUUUUUCAAAACCAUUGUCACUUUGACCAAUUGACGACCUAAGCUCGUUUAGCUCAGUUGUUUCUCUAGCUAGUUCUGCGAUUUCACGUCUCUCCAUUUCGUUUGCAGAAACAUUGUCAAUGAUUCCAUCACUUUCUUGAUCAUUACUAAAAAGUUGGGGGAAGAAAUAACUUUUUGCCCAAACUACACAAUGAAUCGGUUGACUUGGUGUGCUUCGAAUGGUACAAACCGGAUAAGUUUUAGGAGGCUCUUUGGGAUUACAGUCGUAACAUUCAGUUUUGCCAUGAAUGAUAACCUGUACCUGGCCAAGAAAUCCGGUUGUUCCACUUUCAAUCAAAGGUACAGAAGCAAGUAAGCAUUGUUUAUUCACAUGUCUACGAGCAUCCAAGUUAUCUAGUGCGUUAAAAACAAGAUCAAAUUGACGAAACCAAGCAACAUUAAAUCGGUCUUCUUUUAUAUUUGCAUGAUAAGCUUCAAGCUUUACAUUUGGGUUAAAUGAGCUUGCGGUUUUUGCAGCAACGAUUGCCUUAGGUUGUUUGACAUGCUUUUUACGAAAAAGAAAUUGUCUGUUAAGAUUAGACAAAUCAAUAGUAUCAAGAUCGAUCUACAGUAUAAGAGUUAAUAAAUCGCGAUAAAAACAUGUAGACGAAACGUUUCUUAAGGUUUAAAAAAUUUAAAUAUACAACUCACUUACUAUAUGAACUUCUUUAACUCCUGACAUAAGAAGGUUCUUUAACAAUUCACACCCAAUUCCACCCGCUCCAACUAAAAGGACCUGACCAAUUGUUAAAACCCACCAGUUUUUCUAUUACAUACCUUGGCAGACUUGAAAUUUCGUAAGGCCUCCACAAAUGUCAAUGGUUUCAUAUCGUUGCUGAGUUGCAUUAGGGUUGGCAUGUUAGCAAUCGAUUCUAAUUAUGGGCUUAAAAGAAGCGAGAAAAACAAUCCCAUACAAAUAGAAUAAAUAGCAAGUUCGCCAGCUAUUAUUAAUUUUGAAGUCCCUGCGCGAUAAAACUAGAGCAUUAAUUUAUUACACUAAGUUACCUUAUUUAAUUUUUCUAUCCUACAAAAAAUUACUUUCAUUAGAACUCACAAUAAAAUAAAUAAAGAAUAGAGAAGUGCAUACUACAAAAUAUAAAAUUGAGUAUUCUUUCACUUUGGGCUUGUUGGACAACAUAUUCGUAGUUA
rnacentral:lncRNA from 1 species